UACGUAGGUCCCGAGCGUUGUCCGGAUUUAUUGGGCGUAAAGCGAGCGCAGGUGGUUUAUUAAGUCUGGUGUAAAAGGCAGUGGCUCAACCAUUGUAUGCAUUGGAAACUGGUAGACUUGAGUGCAGGAGAGGAGAGUGGAAUUCCAUGUGUAGCGGUGAAAUGCGUAGAUAUAUGGAGGAACACCGGUGGCGAAAGCGGCUCUCUGGACUGUAACUGACGUUGAGGCCCGAAAGCGUGGGGAGCAAACAGG
rnacentral:rRNA from 1 species